rnacentral:tRNA from 1 species
GGUAUCUUGGCCGAGCGGUCGAAGGCGAUCGACUCAAGAUCGAUUCUACGAAAGUGGGCGAGGGUUCGAAUCCCUCAGAUACCA